AAGUCGUAACAAGGUCUCCGUAGGUGAACCUGCGGAGGGAUCAUUAACACAAGUGACACUGCAAUACUGUAUUACUGUAUUGUAUUGCAGUGCUUACUAUCAACACCCAUUGCACGUGAACUACUAUGACCCUUUUUUCUCUACUCAGCAUGCGCAAUGCUGUGUAGUGUUUUCAUUUUUGAAAUGAAACCCUUUCCAAUGUUUUUACACUUGUAACUGUUUCCCAGUGGUGUGUGUCGGUUGUGUGCGGUUCGCACUCGACUGUCUCGGCCAUUGUUAACUAUUACGAACUAUUAUUGAGUACAACUCUUAGCAACGGAUAUCUUGGUUCUC
rnacentral:misc_RNA from 1 species